UUGAAAACGAUGGAUGUGAAAGCGUACAGCAUGAUACCGUGAAUUUGACAUUUGCUUGUUCGUUGUGACAAAUUGAAUUCGAAGAAAAAAAAUUUCGGUUACAAACGCGUCGAUAAAGAAUUGUGCAGAUUUGUGCUGUGCAUAUUUUUGCAAAAUUAUUGAAAAUAAAUAUUGAAAUCUUUUAGAAUUGUGUUUCGUUAAUAUUUGUGAACAUCUUGUGUCUAUUAUUGUACUUAUAUUUGGAAAAAGGAUGGAUUCACCAGUGCUUUUUGAUGACACCUAUUUGGAGGAAUGCCCAACAACGUCUUCGACUCCCGUAAAAGAACAAUUGACAUUUAAACGGAAGAAGUUCAACGUUUCUGGUUGCUACAAUACAGAGGCAAGCUUCUCAAAGCAACAAGU